UGGACCGUUUGCAUCCAACUGACCUCGCUGAAGACUGCAGAAGCCCUUGGUCAGACUACUCUCAGGGUUGAAUCUCCCUGGCUUGACUGAGAUUCAGACUUUAUGGAACCUGAUUCAACAACUGAUGAGACUGGAAUUGAAGCACUACUUUAAGAUUUAUUGUCUCCUCUUCUACAAGGAUAUACAUUCAACAAGGAAAGAGAUUCUUUGUUCACCACUUUUCCUCCAGCACACGUCAUGCAGUCAAUUAAUAUUAAUUGAUAAAAGGAAUAAAUUAUUGCAUUAGAAUGCUGAUCAACAUCAAGAAUUCUUCCAGUCAUGUAUAAUGAAGACGGCAUUUGAUUAUCAUUCUGAAUGACUUCAACAUAUCAGGACAACUUCUCCCAGAGACUACUUUGUUCAAUAAUAUAAAGCACCACCACCAUUAUUAAGAGUCAAAAAGCACUGAACCGGAGAAAGCAGUUACAUACAAAUUUUGUCAUUUGAUAGAAUCAACCAAAUAUAUAAACAAGAAUCCUGACAUCUUAAAGAAAUCAGUAAACAAAUAAAAGAAGUACCAAAGU